UGUCGUUGGAACUGUUGCAAGACGUUUGAACGGUCUCCGCGCUCGCUCGUCCAUUUGUGAACAAAGGAGGCCGUGAUUUUGCGUCGUAUGGGCGGCUGCAGUGUUGCGUCCCGUCAGGCCAUGAAAGAAGGAAGGAGGAUAUGAUUUUGCGUCGUAAUAGGUUCUUAUUGUUGUUUGUUCGGAGCAGCGGCUGCAGUGUUGCGUCCCGUCAGGCUCUACUUUGUUGAACACUAAGCUGGGUGAACCAACUUUGUUGUUGCUAUGACCGUAUUACUCAGUUUUACUCACUUGUGUUUGAACGUUACUAAUUUGCGAUUGCACGCCCUAUUUCAGACACAUAUCUCUCCAGCGCUUCAGAGACGUCGCUGGCGCCGAAAUUCUAGCUGUUUCACCGUGGGUCGCCAGAAGAACAGCAGAUCAUUGACUGUCAAUUGUGCGACGCGACACUAUGUGGCACGAAGGAUGUGUACGUGUGAAAUACGUAACUACUGUGUGCGCGGAUGUUUUGUAUGAUUGUGUUGACACUGGAUACCACUUUCAAGGUAUGCAUUUUCGGAAUAAAGUAGAUACAUAUAUAAUUUUGCAGUACUUCAUUUCGUGUAUUUUAUGCGUGUUGCGAGUAA